CUUCUGUAAAGUGCUGCAUUUACAUGAGUUAUGAUACAGAUUCAUAUACAAAUUUCAAAUACUCUGGACUGAAUGAAUGAUGGUUUUGUAUGACCCCUGGUUGCCCUCAUUUGGCUUUCAGCCACUCAGGUUGUGUUUCAAGGCUGCUUUGUCAGUGAACAUUUAUGCCAGACAUUGUUUCAAGAAGAGGAAGGUGAAAGAUAAGAGUGUUUCAUGGGCCCUAUGUUGCCAGUGAUCAAGCUUUUUGUGAAAAAUAAACAGCACAAUGUCUAUUAAGAAGUUCUACGUAGCCCAUGCUUGGAUAGCAGAGUUUGGUGCCGGGUGAAAAGUCAAACCUUACAGCAGGUGCUGCUGCCUGGCACAGAGAGGUGUCCAACAGCUGCAAGCAGUUUGUGUGUGCUGGCUCUGCUAAUUAGCACCUCACUCCUGCAUUUAUCCUGCAGCAAACAGGGCUUGUCUCUUUGUAGCUUGCUCCGACCUCUCUGUGCCAGCCUGCGCUGUGGCUGUAUGAGGACACUGCAGGUCCUAGGUUGCAAUUAGAGACGAAGCACACAUCUUUUCUGAGAGUGGAACAUGUGCCUUCAGGAUCUGGUUGUGAAGAUUGUAUUUCCAUACCUCUCUCUCAUCAGGGAAACCUUCCAGAUUCAUAUUAUGGAAAAAUUUUGGUGAGUCUGUUCCCAAAGACCUCCCUGGGGAUGGGCUGCAAUGAAACCACGGGCACACGAUGGCUGGAAAUGAGAAGGGCCACGCAGAUGAUACACCCAGAGCUGGUGAGAGGCACAGGGAGGUGCCCAGGAGCAGGAGGAGGAGCAGCUCUGGAUUCAGAGGUAACCAAGGUGCUGAGUACAAUCCACACUUGCUGCUAAAA
rnacentral:lncRNA from 1 species